GAUGAACGCUGGCGGAAUGCUUUACACAUGCAAGUCAAACGGCAGCACGGGUGCUUGCACCUGGUGGCGAGUGGCGAACGGGUGAGUAAUAUAUCGGAACGUAUCCAAUAAUGGGGGAUAACUAGCCGAAAGGUUAGCUAAUACCGCAUACGCCCUGAGGGGGAAAGCUGGGGAUCGUAAGACCUAGCGUUGAUGGAGCGGCCGAUAUCUGAUUAGCUAGUUGGUGGGGUAAGAGCCUACCAAGGCGACGAUCAGUAGCUGGCCUGAGAGGACGACCAGCCACACUGGAACUGAGACACGGUCCAGACUCCUACGGGAGGCAGCAGUGGGGAAUUUUGGACAAUGGGGGCAACCCUGAUCCAGCCGUUCCGCGUGAGUGAAGAAGGCCUUCGGGUUGUAAAGCUCUUUCGCAAGGGAAGAAAACUCGAUCUCUAAUAUAGGUUGAGGCUGACGGUACCUUGAUAAGAAGCACCGGCUAACUACGUGCCAGCAGCCGCCGUAA
rnacentral:rRNA from 1 species